rnacentral:ncRNA from 1 species
UUUAUGGAGAGUUUGAUCCUGGCUCAGGACGAACGCUGGCGGCGUGCCUAAUACAUGCAAGUCGAGCGGACUGAUGGGAGCUUGCUCCCUGAUGUUAGCGGCGGACGGGUGAGUAACACGUGGGCAACCUACCUGUAAGACUGGGAUAACUC